rnacentral:lncRNA from 1 species
AGGCGAGGCCCCCGGGCCUCUCGAGGAGCGGCCCCCAGAGUCUAGGGGUGCCAGGGGCGUGGGGUGGGCGGCUCAGACCUUGGUCUGUGGGAGCCCUAGGAGGGCACCGUGUUAAGUCUGGAGGCUCUGCGGGAGAGGGCGGCCUGGGGGGAAGAGGCGUGCUCCUGGUAAAUGACAUCACGACAGAAGUGGAAGUGGUGGCCAAGGAAGAGGCCGACGUGGAGCAGCAGCAGGAGGACCACUGGGCAGAGCCGGGCCCUGGCCCCAGUAUGCCCCGGCCCGCAACGGACUCGCUGGAGGUCCAUCAUUUGCAGCUGGGCUUUGUAAAUGCCGAUGAAGUCCUGCUGAGCUACAUGAUGGAUUUGCAGGUUGAGGAACUCAGCCACCCCAGGUACUGGCAUCAGGAUGAAGGUUUCCUUUUGUAACAGCCUUUACUUCCACAAUGAAGUGAUCAUUCAGGAGUACUGCGUUGGCAUCCUUGAAACAGGGUGUCUCAUUCCACUGCAGUCCAGUGGUUGUGGGAUCAUGAAGGUCAAGCCUCCAGCUGCAGGCAGUACACCUACAUCUGACCUUCUUCAGCUGGUUGGUUGCCCCUGGCUACCCAGGUCCCGGCAGGAUUGCUGAGAUCAUCAGCCAGGGCCUGUGGCUCAAUCCCCUUCAGUACUUCCCGAGGGAGGGAGGCCAUUAGAGAGGGAACAGAG